UAAUAAACUAGGAUUAGAUACCCUAUUAUUUUUAUUAAAAAAUUAAAUAAUUUAAUUAUUAAAUGUAAAUCAUUAAAAAUAAAAAAUUUGGCGGUAUUUAUUAUUUAGAGGAACUUGUUUAUUAAAUUGAUAAUCCACGAGUGGAAAAACUUAAUUUUUUUAUUUUUAUGUAUUGUUGUAAAAUUAUAUUAAGAGGUAUUAAUUAAUAAAUUUAAUUAAAAUUAUAAUUCAAAUCAAAAUGUAGAAUAAUUAAGAGUUUAAUGAGUUACAAUUAGAUUAAUAAUUGAAUUUUAAAAAAUUUAAUUUUAUAAAUGAAAAUGGAUUUAAAAGUAAAAUUAUAUAAACUAUAAUUGAAAA
rnacentral:rRNA from 1 species